rnacentral:rRNA from 1 species
UACGGGGGGGGCAAGCGUUGUUCGGAAUUACUGGGCGUAAAGGGCUCGUAGGUGGCCAACUAAGUCGGACGUGAAAUCCCUCGGCUUAACCGGGGAACUGCGUCCGAUACUGGUUGGCUUGAGUUUGGGAGAGGGAUGCGGAAUUCCAGGUGUAGCGGUGAAAUGCGUAGAUAUCUGGAGGAACACCGAUGGCGAAGGCAGCUCUCUGGGACGGUACUGACGCUGAGACGCGAAAGCGUGGGGAGCGAACGAGG